GGAUGGUUUGUGGACGUAAGUCUUGCUAACCCGGUCAGGUCCGGAAGGAAGCAGCCGUCGUAAGAUCCUUGCGGGUCACGUUAUGCCAGCCCCU
rnacentral:SRP_RNA from 1 species